rnacentral:lncRNA from 1 species
CUUAACAUCUCGGUUCGAAAUCCAAAGAAACUUGCUCAGAAAAGCAAGGAUCCCUCUAACAAAGCAGCAUUCUGGCAGCAUAAACAACAGCCGAGCUCGAAAGGGAAUGAAACCCCCAUAUCCGUGCUCUCCUGCCAUUAUGUAACCUAUUAAAAGCAAAGCACUCUGCUGCAGUGACUGAGUGCUUUUGUUGCAUGGAUUUUCUUAGAAUUUUAAUGGAAGAAACCGAGUAACAAGUUCUCUGCAGACCCCGAGAAGAAUGCGUGUCACGUUUGUAGAGCUGCCAUAACAAUCAUGGGGAAGAGACAUCUGAUAAAGCAACGUUCUGCCCAAGGAUGAAAGCUGUAGAUGAGAUCUGUCAAAGCAAAGAACUGAGGAUCCAGCACACCUGGGGCUCAGGAGCAGCCUUAAUGAGGAGCAGAUCUCUGACUGCGGUGUCUAUAAACAAGUUGGCGAUGAGCAUGUUGGUCUGUACCAGAGCUCAAGUUUGUUCUUAAUAUCUGAGCUGCGCAUGAUUGUCUUGAGAGCUCAUUAAACCUAAUCUCAUAUCACUUGUAGGCAGCAGAAAGCUGAAUCAGCUAAGGACUGGUCCAGACUUUGAACCAUGUAAGUCUGAGACUGAUCUUCCCUUAGAAGAGGCUCCACUGGCCUCAGCUUAUUGUAAACUCUUUGGACAAGGAUGUGUAUUUGGACAGCAUCCAGCGUGGUGGGACCUUCUCUUGAAGCAUUGCCACUGUGAAAACAGUACACAAUAGCCAUCGUAUGCAACAUAUGGAAAGUUGUGAUAAGAAUGUCUUUCAAGCCUCUUAAUUAGAUGUGAUUUGUUGGCCAAAGGAGCACUUCAGAGGUGAGCAGCCCAACGGGGGACGUGUCUGUGAGCCUUCGGGAGACUCAGCCCCAGCAGCAUCGUUUGGGUGUGGGCAGUUCAGUGCUCCCAGCUCAGGCCGCCGUCACCC